rnacentral:tRNA from 1 species
GUCGUCGUCGGGGGGUGAGAUGCCCGCGUUGUUGAAGGCGACGUCGACGCUGCCGUAGGUGUCGUACGCCGUGCCGAACAGCGCCUCGACC